rnacentral:rRNA from 1 species
GGGCCCGCACAAGCGGUGGAGUAUGUGGUUUAAUUCGAUGCAACGCGAAGAACCUUACCAGGGUUUGACAUCCUGCGAAUCUCUUGGAAACGAGAGAGUGCCUUCGGGAACGCAGUGACAGGUGGUGCAUGGCUGUCGUCAGCUCGUGUCGUGAGAUGUUGGGUUAAGUCCCGCAACGAGCGCAACCCACGUCUUUAGUUGCCAGCAUUUAGUUGGGCACUCUAGAGAGACCGCCGGUGAUAAACCGGAGGAAGGUGUGGAUGACGUCAAAUCAUCACGGCCCUUACGUUCUGGGCUACACACGUGCUACAAUGGUCGGUACAGAAAGCAGCCACUAUGCGAAUAGGAGCUAAUCUCAUAAACUUAGCCUAAGUUCGGAUUGUAGGCUGCAACUCGCCUACAUGAAGUCGGAAUCGCUAGUAAUCGCUGGUC